rnacentral:rRNA from 1 species
UAAAGCCCUUUCAGUGGGAAGAUAGUGACGGUACCCACAGAAGAAGCUCCGGCUAACUCCGUGCCAGCAGCCGCGGUAAUACGGAGGGGGCGAGCGUUGUUCGGAAUUAUUGGGCGUAAAGGGCGCGUAGGCGGUUAAUCAAAGUCAGGAGUGAAAGCCCCAGGCUCAACCUGGGAAUGGCUUUUGAAACUGAACUAACUGGAGUCCGGCAGAGGGUGGUGGAAUUCCCCGUGUAGAGGUUAAAUUCGUAGAUAUGGGGAGGAAGACC